UAGCAGGACCGGCUUUUUUUUCUUGUUUUCAGUAGCGAGCGAUGUUUAUGAUUGUGCCAGAGCACAUUUUGAACAGCACUAUGGGAAUUUCGGAUUUUACACAGCUGGUUGGAUGUUACACUCUGGAAAUGGAAGGAAGGAGAAGAUCAUGUUGUGAAGACACCCAGACGCUGUCCACAUGGCUGGAAGAUGUACUGCAAUCGAUGCUUCCUCUAUCUUUCCCAACCCCGGUCUUGGGCUCAAGUUCAGAAAAACUGUAAGCAAAUGAAGGCAAACCUUGCAUCUGUACACAGCCACAGAGAGCACAAGUUCAUUCGGAGUCUGAUAUUUCGUGCCACUCGCCAUAGUAAACCUACAUGGCUCGGAGGCUCAGAUCCAAAAGCGGUAUACAUCCGGUGGGCGGCCGCGAGGAAGACGGCGGCAGCCACUGAGGUGAUCCGGUGGGCGGCCGCGAGGAAGACGGCGGCAGCCACUGAGGUGAUCCGGUGGGCGGCCGCGAGGAAGACGGCGGCGGCCACUGAGAAGGUCCGGGGGCGGCCGCGAGGAAGACGGCGGCGACGUCCAGAACGUGGCUUGGGCGACGGCGUGGCAGCCGCAGGACCAGGCGAGGCUAACGCAGAGGCAGAAGCUGGACUGUGCGAAGCCGAGGCUGGGCCAGGUGAAGCAGAAGCUGGAGCCGAGGUUGGGCCAGGCGACGGCAUGGGAGCCGGCGGUGACGGAGCAACAGCUUCGGAGGCUGGGCCAGGAGGCGCGGAGGCCUCUGGCUGGAGACAGGCUGGGCCAGGAGGCGCGGAGGCCUCUGGCUGGAGACAGGCUGGGCCAGGAGGCGCGGAGGCCUCUGGCUGCAGACAGGCAGGGCCAGGAGGCGCGGAGGCCUCUGGCUGGAGACAGGCAGGGCCAGGAGGCGCGGAGGCCUCUGGCUGAGGAGCGGCCGGGCCAGCGGGCGCGGAAACCCCUGGCUGAGGAGCGGGAGAGCUCACAGCUGGCUCUGGAUGCUGUGGCUGCAGGUCCGGGAACUGAACAGGAUGGUGGAUGAAUGACUGGACCAGAGAAGACUGGACUACAGAGGCCUGGAGGACGGGAUGAGACUGGACUACAGGAGAGGACUGGACUGACUGGGCAGGAGGCAACUGGACUGACUGGACUGGAGUAGCCUGAGCUACAGGUGACUGGACUGGAGCAGCCUGAGCUACAGGUGACUGGACUGGAGCAGCCUGGAGAGCAGAAUUAUAUUUAGACUUGGAUCGAUGGAACAAAUUUCAGAUAUGCAAACUGGUGUCAUGGAAAACCGACCAAAAAUUAUGGCCACUGCCUGGAGAUGAAUUUUUCAGCAAAAAAAGUCUUGGAAUGGUCGGUUCUGUUCCUGCCUCCGCCCAUCUGUCUGCGUCAAGAAUAUCUGGUGAUUCCUGACCUCAUACGAAGGCAUGGUGCACUUGGCAAAGAAGCAAACUGUCUCAUAUAUCGUCCAAAGAGUCUACUUCUCAUUUUACAUCUUUGCUUCUGUUCAGCGAUGCUGAAAAAAAUGCAAUGCAAAUGCAAAUAAAAUGACAGAAACUGUAGUUUUUCUCUUUCAGGAAUGUGUAAUGGAAAUACUGCUUUUAGCAAAGCUUCAAGUACAAAAAUGAACUGUUCUUUCUGGCUUGUCUGUAUCAUUAAAAUCUUAAGCAC
ensembl:lncRNA